CACGUAGGGCGCAAGCGUUGUCCGGAAUUAUUGGGCGUAAGGAGCUCGUAGGCGGCCUGUCGCGUCUGCUGUGAAAUCCCGGGGCUCAACCCCGGGCCUGCAGUGGAUACGGGCUGGCUGGAGGCAGGCAGGGGAGAACGGAAUUCCUGGUGUAGCGGUGAAAUGCGCAGAUAUCAGGAGGAACACCGGUGGCGAAGGCGGUUCUCUGGGCCUGUUCUGACGCUGAGGAGCGAAAGCGUGGGGAGCGAACAGG
rnacentral:rRNA from 1 species